ensembl:lncRNA novel transcript
CAGCCCUGUAGGAGACACCUCCAGAGAAAGUAACAGCUCUCAAUUGAUUAGCUGAGCUCGCCUUGGCGGGAAGAUCUGGCACAAAUGAAGUAUCUAUAAGGAGCAGCAGAGUCAAGGUGGUGAUCCUGUGGAUGAAUAACUGAAACCUGAUAUACUUGACAGCAGAAAAUAUAAAGCAAAUUGAAAAGGAGAGAGUGUGGAGAUAAAUAAG